UUAGAUCACCGAAGUCAAGCAUCAUUGGGCGCGGUCAGUACUUGGGUGGGUGACCACCUGGGAACACUGCGUGCCGUU